rnacentral:rRNA from 1 species
AUACAGAGGGUGCGAGCGUUAAUCGGAAUUACUGGGCGUAAAGCGCGCGUAGGCGGCUUGGUCAGUCGGAUGUGAAAGCCCCGGGCUCAACCUGGGAAUGGCAUUCGAUACUGCCAGGCUAGAGUAUGGGAGAGGGAAGUGGAAUUUCCGGUGUAGCGGUGAAAUGCGUAGAUAUCGGAAGGAACACCAGUGGCGAAGGCGACUUCCUGGCCCAAUACCGACGCUGAGGUGCGAAAGCGUGGGGAGCGAACAGGAUUAGAGACCCUUGUAGUCC